GAAAUGCGAUAAGUAGUGUGAAUUGCAGAAUUCAGUGAAUCAUCGAAUCUUUGAACGCACAUUGCGCCCUUUGGUAUUCCUUAGGGCAUGCCUGUUCGAGCGUCAUUUAAACCCUUCAAGCUCAGCUUGGUGUUGGGUGACUGUCCGCCGCCCCCGGGCGUGGACUCGCCCCAAAGUGAUUGGCAGCCGGCGUACUGGUCCCGGAGCGCAGCACAUGUCGCGCAAACGAGUGCCUUGGUACGGCGGCGUCCAUAAGCCCCUCUCUCACGCUCUUGACCUCGGAUCAGGUAGGGAUACCCGCUGAACUUAAGC
rnacentral:misc_RNA from 1 species